ACUCUCUAAAAUGUUUUAAAUUGUUACAUUUAGUUAAUACAUUUCUUAUCUUUGUCCCUGCUGAGCAGAAUCCCUGAGUUUCAUUAAAGGCUAGAAUGUUAGAAUUGAUACAAUAGUUGCUAAUGCUGCAGAGAUACUACCGAACUAAAUCAACUAAAUGUUGCAAAAUUGUAACAGUUCAGAAUCUGCACCUGAAUUAUUGAGCUGUCAGACUGAAACACCAGAGACAGGGACAUUCAACUUUAAACUUAGAUUUUGGAAAAAGGUCUUUAUUUCUGAAAACAACUCAACUGAAAAAAUGCUUGGAAAGUUAACAACCCCUUUAACUGCAUUCAGAAAGUAAUGCAUUGGAUGGAAGUAGAAAAGCCAUUGAAUUUCCUCAUAUCCAAAUGGAUAAAUAUCUCAAACAUUUUCGACAUGGCACAAUUCAUUUUUGUAAGGAUUAAAUUAUAUUGGCCUCCAGUGUUCAGAGCGGUAUGCUGCUUAAAACAGGUUUCUUAUGUUUUUUCUCAUGAGGUCAAGUCUGGCAUUGGUUUGGUCAAUUAUGCACCUUGUUUUAAUUGUUUUCUAUUGUAGCAUGAGAUUCCUAUAUUUUAAAGGGGAUCAUAGUGAUUUACUCUGAACAGCUUAAGACGUAGAUUUGAGUUCCAAUCGUGAUCAUAGUUUAAGAAUAUCUGCAGUAAUAUAAGGCUUAUAAAUAGCAUAAUGCUAAAUACUGGGUCAAAUCCAAAUCUUGAAUAUAAUCAUGGAAUGCAUAUGAAUCCAGAAUCUGGAUUUGGGUAUCCCAACACUUCAAUGCCAGAAAUGUGAAGCUUAGGAGAAGCAACAGUAUCACUAAGGUUAAACUACAUAGAGGUUUAGCGUCCAUUCUCCUAACCACUGCCUGCAGAACAAUCCACUGAACCUCUAUGAAUUACCUGGAUUGGCUCUGUAUUGUUAGUGUGUCAGUACCCUUCUCUGGAUACAUAUGCCAACAUGUUUAAGACAGAUAAAUCAUAAGAAUUAGUACUGUCAGUUAUUUCAGUUUUGUCAUUUUGUGUACUUAAAUAGGGUCAAAUUGGAAACUUUUGGUAAAGUCACAUUCAACUUCCUGUUCACAAGUGCACUCAAAACAAAUCAACAGCCUUCUGUAUAUACAAACCCCUUCCGUCCCUUUUGUUGGGGUUUGGGAUACAGAGGCUUCUCUGUAGUAUUCAUUGACCUAAUAUUAGAAACAUGUGUAAAUUGCCUUUUUAAAACAAUUGUAUAUUCCAUUCUUGCUGAUAACUAUACCUUUAAAGAAGACCAUAAAAACUGGACUUCUUUGUUUCAUAACUGUGCUUAUUUCCAUUGUUGUUUUGCUUUUAUUGCUGCAUCCUUUCUUGAUUAGAUUUGCUAUUUGGAGACCACUCUAUCCUUUCUAGCUCAUGAUGAAUUUUUGCACACAGAAAUCUACUUACAUCACAGGUAGUGCUGUAUAAACCAGACUGUGUAUUAAUAUCAGUGUAUCGGUGUAGCAGAAGUUUGUGUUACUGCAACACAUUGCAAGUUCUUGAACCUGUGUGUUUAAGCUUGGAUUACAGCAGUCAUGUGACCAUCACUGGAAUUUGUGAAUAGUGUAAUACACUUCAAGGCCGGCUACAUUCUUCAUCUGUAGGGCUGAAACAUGCAUUAUGUUGUUGGUAAUAUUGUUGAAGAUAUAGCCUUCAGAUUGCUGUGUGUACUAACCUGAGCCCAGGAGGAUUAGUCAAAAUAAUUUAGAUUAUCUCUACUAUAUUCAAGCAAAAAUGAUCUUAGUAAAGACAGUGUGUGCAACUUUAGUCUAGGAAUAUUGUUUCCUCCUGUCUUUUCUCUCACUGUGCAGUAGAACAUCCUACAACCUGCUUUAAAUCAGUUGCUUUAGUCUGUGUUUAUAUGUCUAUCAUGUCUUAUUAUACUAUAGCGUUCUUUCUGUAAUUUUCUGCAUACAGUAUGUGAAUGAAACAUAGACAUAAAGAAUGGUGUAUUCUCCUUUUAAAGCUUUCCUCCUCCUCACACCAAAAAGUUCACUCUCUGUCAUUUUUUAAUUUAUUUUUAUGCAAACUGCCUCUUUAAGAUGGCUUCAGGAACUGCUUAAAUUUCUUGCUGUUUAGUAUUUUAUAGAUUAGCUCAUUUUAAGCAACUUUUCAAUUUGCCUUAGUUUUUUCCUUGUAGUUUCUGAAUGAUUUGCCGCCUUCUUCUGACUCUUUCUAGCUUUCAGAUGGGGGUGACUGAACCCAUAAAAAAAACAAAUGCUCUGUAAGGCUACAAAUGUAUUGAUUGUUAUUGCUACUUUUACUCAUCUUUCUCCUAUUCAUAUUCCUCUCUCUUCAAAUGAAUGCAUGGUUGCUCCCUAGCAGCCAGGUGGCUUAAACUGGAGAGUUUCUAAAUAAAAAACGAAAUAACUCAAAAACCAAAAAUAAAAAAUUGAAACCAAUUUCAAAUGA